rnacentral:lncRNA from 1 species
AUGGCGCAGAGCUGGGCGGACAGAGCCGAGCAGAUGGUGUCUUCUCUGGGGGAAAUGCUGGGGCUGGAGGCCGCGGCGCCUCUGGCCCUGUGGCCGGCCGGAGUGCUGCUUCUGUCGGUCGGCCUGGGGCUGGUCCUCACGCUGCUGCUGCUGGGGCUCCACAGGCCCGGAGCGGCGAGGGAGCAGCGGGGGAGGGCCGAGGACAGCCCGCCGGAGCCGGGCCGAACCGGGAAGCCCGAGGAGCCGCGGAAGAGGAUAAGGAAGAAGGCGGGAGAGAAGAAGCUGCAGAGGAACGGUCUGGCCGUGGAGCCGCAGGAGGAAGUGAAGCCGGUGGAGAUGCAGAGUUCGGACCCGGCUGAACCUAAAGCUGAUAAGGCCAAGAAGAAUAAGAAAAAGCCCAAAACUCCAGCAAAAGAAGCAAAAUCUGCCCCUUCAGAGCGUAAAGAACAGGAUGAAGAAGAGCCUCCUGCAGUUGAAGUCCCUCAUGCUGUCCUUCCACAAGUGUCUCCGGGCUGGGAGGAGGUUGUGAAUGUUAACGGAUCCGGCUGGAGAGAGUUCGGAGCUCCGGUUCAGCUGGACGGCUCUGAACGGCAGGACCGACACUCCGCCUGGACUCACGACAUGGAAGGCUCUUGGACAAUCGUGGACAGCACUAAUAUUCCAGUCUCCUUCCCUGGACUGCCUACAGGUGUUGAGUCUCAGGCGGUUGCUGAUCUCUCCUGGACGUGUCAGCCUGUGGUGGAUGAUGAAUGGUCUGGUGUGGCCAGUGGCUGUGCGGACCCUGACUGGGAUGCACCGACUGAAGUGUGGGGUCAUUAUGAGGAUCAGCCACUGGAGGGCGCUGUGGGCACCCAGCAACCGUCGGCCGAGCUGCAGGAAUCUGAUCCUGAAAAGGACAAAGACGACCCGGCUGCUCCUGGAAGUGGAAAAGCCAAGAAGAAGAAAAAGAAGAAGAAGAAAUUAGAGGAGGGCGGAGCUACUGCUCAGGUGGAGGUAGAAGUGGGUGUGGCUAAAGACCAGAACACUGCAGGGAACAUUUUGCCUAAAACAGUCAAAGAACAGGAGAGCGUGGCUCCAGCUGGUCCUCCACGGUCUGUUGCGAAAGUGUCCGAACCUUCUGAAGCUUCAGUGAGGACCUCAGCAGCUCCAUCAGCACAGAGUAAAUCCCCCACCUCAUACACAUACACACACACAUACCAAAAGUCACGGGACUGGUAAUAGUCUUAUGUCCCAGUUAGUCUUGAUAUUGCAUGUUCCGUAAAACAUCCUAAAGAACGCUGAACUAAUCUGUGUUCUUCUGUACUGAAUAUAAAUCUCUGGACCGUUUUAGCCAGAAACCACCGGUCACCUUCAUUACCACGGUAUCCACUGCAAUGAUCUACUGUACACUGUGGGUUGUAAUAUUAACCUUCUAUAUUCUUAUUUGUAUGGGAAUUAGUGCUGUGUGAUAUGAGGAUAAAUAUCGUGGGGAUGAUAGAAAAGUGUCUAUCGUGCUGUUUACCUUCUAUUGUCCCUAUCAAUUCUACAGAAUUGACAAAUACAUAAAGUAGGCUAUGAUGAAAUGUAUUGGCGUGGUCACUUUACAUAAACUCGGUUUAUAUAAGUGAUAAUAAAGUAAUCUUUACAAAAUGCGACA